rnacentral:tRNA from 1 species
GGUUCCAUAGAGUAGUCCUUAGCACGUCUGCUUUACACGCAGAAGGUCCUGGGCUCGAGCUCCAGCGGAGCCG